AAAGAGAGACAAGACCGCGAGGUGGAGCAAAUCUCAAAAAGCCGUCCCAGUUCGGAUCGCAGGCUGCAACCCGCCUGCGUGAAGUUGGAAUCGCUAGUAAUCGCGGAUCAGCAUGCCGCGGUGAAUACGUUCCCGGGCCUUGUACACACCGCCCGUCGCACCAUGAGAGUUUGUAACACCCAAAGCCGGUGGGGUAACCUUUUGGAGCCAGCCGUCUAAGGUGGGACAGAUGAUUGGGGUGAAGUCGUAACAAGGUAAC
rnacentral:rRNA from 1 species